rnacentral:misc_RNA from 1 species
GUUUGAUCCUGGCUCAGAAUGAACGUUGGCGGCGUGGAUUAGGCAUGCAAGUCGAGCGCGAUAUGUAGCAAUACAUGGAGAGCGGCGAAAGGGAGAGUAAUACGUAGGUAUCUACCCUCGGGUCUGGGAUAGCAGCGGGAAACUGCUGGUAAUACCAGAUAACGUCUCCGGACCAAAGGUGUGAUUCCACCUGAGGAGGAGCCUACGGCCUAUUAGCUAGUUGGUAGGGUAACGGCCUACCAAGGCAAAGAUGGGUAUGGGGUGUGAGAGCAUGCCCCCACUCACUGGGACUGAGACACUGCCCAGACACCUACGGGUGGCUGCAGUCGAGAAUCUUCGGCAAUGGGCGAAAGCCUGACCGAGCAA